rnacentral:rRNA from 1 species
CCUACGCGCGGCAGCAGUGGGGAAUAUUGCACAAUGGGCGAAACCUUGAUGCAGCGACGCCGCGUGAGUGAAGAAGUAAUUCGUUAUGUAAAGCUCUAUCAGCAGGGAAGAAAAUGACGGUACCUGAGUAAGAAGCCCCGGCUAACUACGUGCCAGCAGCCGCGGUAAUCCGUAGGAGGCAAGCGUUACCCGGAUUUACUGGGUGUAAAGGGAGCGUAGACGGCAGUGCAAGUCUGGAGUGAAAGGCGGGGGCUCAACCCCCGGACUGCGUUGGAAACUGUACGACUGGAGUGCCGGAGAGGUAAGUGGAAUUCCAAGUGUAGCGGUGAAAUGCGUAGAUAUUAGGAGGGACACCAGUGGCGAAGGCGGCUUACUGGACUGUAACUGACGUUGAGGCUCGAAAGCGUGGGGAGCAAACAGGAUUAGAUACCCGGGUAGUC